UCUCGACCUCGUGAUCCACCUCUCUCGGCCUCCCAACUUUGACAAGAUCACACAUGUGGCUUCUGAUAGGACUCAGAAGGUAUGCUUUCAAGCUCACUAAAUCGGACUCUCCCCAAAGCUGCCUCAAAACAUGACAACUGGCUCCAUUCUGAGUGAACAAUCCAAGAGCGAGUGCACCAAAAACAGAAGCCAGAGAUAUUUAUAACCUAAUCUUGGAAGCAACAUCCUAUCACUUCUGCCACACUCUUGUUUAGAAGAAAGCCGAUCCGUCCAACCCACACUCAAAGAUGAGAUUUCACAAGAGCCUGAAUACCAAGAGGUCUGGGCGAGACUGACAGCCUAACAAGCUCCCACAUGAGGUGACUGCUGCUGCCACUGCUACACAUUUGACUCCACUGCUACACAUUUGACUAGCGAAGGUGCCACAGUACUGCUCUAUGAGUUUUCAUCUGUCCUCCAGAGAAGGUGCUAUAGCAGGUGCUCAGCUUUGAUUCUUCUCUCCCUCAAAAAGCACCUCUGCAGAUCUCCAUGGCUUGCGGGGUGCAUAGUCCUUCAUUCUGGAGUGAUCUGCGCCCUGGAUAUUUUAUGUACUUCUCAGGUUGUGGCUGCUAUACACAUGUAUUUCCUAUUAAAAUUGUAUGAGGAAUUAUCAAGAAGUGCCCAAGUGGAUGAACAAGGUGCCUCAUUCUUCACUAUUGUAUAGCAGCAUCCCUACCUUCUUCUGAUCAUGAGUCAAUUAAUGCAGCCAGGAUAAUGACCCUUUUUCUCAUCUUCUGGUCUGCAAACACGAGGAGCCCCAACUUUCACACAGGUGUCAUAGCUUAUAAUUCAGUGAAGAUUUUUCUGUGUUCAUGGUGAAUCUCUUGAGUACUUUUAGGAAAUAGGAAUUCUAAAGCCUC